rnacentral:rRNA from 1 species
AUUGAACGCUGGCGGCAUGCCUUACACAUGCAAGUCGAACGGUAACAGGUUAAGCUGACGAGUGGCGAACGGGUGAGUAAUAUAUCGGAACGUGCCCAGUCGUGGGGGAUAACGUAGCGAAAGCUACGCUAAUACCGCAUACGAUCUACGGAUGAAAGCGGGGGAUCGCAAGACCUCGCGCGAUUGGAGCGGCCGAUAUCAGAUUAGGUUGUUGGUGAGGUAAAAGCUCACCAAGCCUGCGAUCUGUAGCUGGUCUGAGAGGACGACCAGCCAAACUGGAACUGAGACACGGUCCAGACUCCUACGGGAGGCAGCAGUGGGGAAUUUUGGACAAUGGAUGCAAGUCUGAUCCAGCAAUGCCGCGUGCAGGACGAAGGCCUUCGGGUUGUAAACUGCUUUUGUACGGAACGAAACGGUGAGCUCUAAUACAGUUUGCUAAUGACGGUACCGUAAGAAUAAGCACCGGCUAACUACGUGCCAGCCGCCGCGGUAA